UGGGGAGUCGUCUAAUGGUAGGACAGAGGCCUUUGAAGCCUUUAAUUGGGGUUCGAAUCCCUGCUCCCCAGCAA
rnacentral:tRNA from 1 species